rnacentral:rRNA from 1 species
AUUGAACGCUGGCGGCAGGCCUAACACAUGCAAGUCGAACGGUAACAGGGAUCAGCUUGCUGAUUCGCUGACGAGUGGCGGACGGGUGAGUAAUGUCUGGGAAACUGCCUGAUGGAGGGGGAUAACUACUGGAAACGGUAGCUAAUACCGCAUAACGUCGCAAGACCAAAGAGGGGGACCUUCGGGCCUCUUGCCAUCGGAUGUGCCCAGAUGGGAUUAGCUAGUAGGUGGGGUAACGGCUCACCUAGGCGACGAUCCCUAGCUGGACUGAGAGGAUGACCAGCCACACUGGAACUGAGACACGGUCCAGACUCCUACGGGAGGCAGCAGUGGGGAAUAUUGCACAAUGGGCGCAAGCCUGAUGCAGCCAUGCCGCGUGUAUGAAGAAGGCCUUCGGGUUGUAAAGUACUUUCAGCGGGGAGGAAGGGAGUAAAGUUAAUACCUUUGCUCAUUGACGUUACCCGCAGAAGAAGCACCGGCUAACUCCGUG